rnacentral:rRNA from 1 species
CACGUAGGCGGGUAUUUAAGUCAGGGGUGAAAUCCCGGAGCUCAACUCCGGAACUGCCUUUGAUACUGGGUACCUAGAGUAUGGAAGAGGUAAGUGGAAUUCCGAGUGUAGAGGUGAAAUUCGUAGAUAUUCGGAGGAACACCAGUGGCGAAGGCGGCUUACUGGUCCAUUACUGACGCUGAGGUGCGAAAGCGUGGGGAGCAAACA